rnacentral:rRNA from 1 species
AUGGACCUACGGGACGCAGCAGUAGGGAAUCUUCCACAAUGGGCGAAAGCCUGAUGGAGCAACGCCGCGUGGGUGAAGAAGGUCUUCGGAUAGUAAAACCCUGUUGUUAGAGAAGAAAGGGCGUGAGAGUAACUGUUCACGUUUCGACGGUAUCUAACCAGAAAGCCACGGCUAACUACGUGCCAGCAGCCGCGGUAAUACGUAGGUGGCAAGCGUUAUCCGGAUUUAUUGGGCGUAAAGGGAACGCAGUCGGUCUUGUAAGG